GUGCUGGACUGGCUACCAAGUAUGCAAACCAAAAACAGCAACCCUCCUGACUGCGAGCAGGAACCAGAGAACAGCAUGGCGGCUGUUGACAGACGGAAACGAUCAGUUUCAGGUUGACGGAGGAGACUCGAGUGAGCGAUGGGAGAACAGGAAAUGAGGGAGGGACCACGUAAGGCAUCGAAGACGAGCACAUCUAGGACCGAUCUAGAGAAAUGAGUCAACCUCCACACCUGUAGGGGGAGUUUCUGAGCGUGGCUCCAGUACUCUGGGAUAGAUUUUUUGAAGCGGGAACCAUCCUCGACAUUCCCACACAUGCACCUUCAAAGGACUUCAGGUGUCGUCUGCGUCUCCCACGAACGGCCCUGGGGGAGUGGAUGUCGCGUCUGGCAUCCGGCGCUUUUCCCCUUAACUGUCAGGAUCAAUAACUGUCGAGAUUCAUAAACUGAAUACUUCAGCUGGUUUGGAUCUACAGCAUUACAGUUCUGAAAGGGUUUUACUUUUUGUAGGCGAGUUGGAGUCCCGAAGUUUCUUAAACACCUCAAAAAAGAAGAUAAAACAACAAAAGAAGAGAAAAAAAACCCAGAGUAACAUUUGAGACGUUGCAUUCAGGCAAUUUUCAGAACAGCCGCUGUUAUCUGCAGAAACCAAACUGAGGAUGUUCAUCACAUUCUGUUGAACGCGAAUGCACAUCAAAUGCAAGCAAUUUCCUCAAGUUCUGUAUUGUGUUCUUACGGAUCAGGAAAUUACUCCUCCAAAAAUAAAGAUGUCAAGGCUUUCAGCAGCUCCACAAAAAAGAAUUGGACUGAAAUGAAAAAAGCCACCAUUCCCUCCAUGAGUCAGACAAAAACACAUCCAUUUCGAGGCCAUCAUUCGCUCAAAUUUCCUCGUGCAAACUGCAGCUCUCUGCGCACUAAAGGCAGAAGGCCGCGGCAGCGCUGCUGAAGAGGAAGCAGAGGAAGAUGAGUGCCACCGGAGCAAACAGAAGUAGAUUUGUUGCCACGUUUGUGUGAAAAUUCAAAUGUGGAUCAGAUAAUUGAGGAGGCAGCCGUAGAAAAAUCUCUUAAGUGCAACGGAAAAACGCCAUUUUUCAAAUAUAAACUGAGCAACAUGUGUCAUUUUCUUCCUAUUAGGACAAUGCAGGAGGAUGAGGAAGCUUUUUGUCAUCAAGGAACACCCGCCGUUGAAAUUGUUGCAUGUGCGCAUGAGAUUUAGAAAAUAAUCAUGAGAGUAAGAGUAAGUGUGUUAAUGAUGAACUACAUAAAGCAGCAAAAGCCCAAGACAUAAAACAGUCAAGUUACCCCAAUUACUGCAUUAAAGAUUGCUGAGUCAGCAGUCUGUCAGAAAUCAGUCAAAGUUCCUCCCUUA